rnacentral:tRNA from 1 species
AGCGUCUUGGAGCAGUCGGUAGCUCGUUGGGCUCAUACCACUCGUUUACAGCACCUUUCGGGGUGUCGUAACACGGAAAUAUGUUACCCAAAGGUCUCAGGAUCGAAACCUGAAGACGCUA